AUUGAACGCUGGCGGCAGGCCUAACACAUGCAAGUCGAGCGGAUGAAGGGAGCUUGCUCCUGGAUUCAGCGGCGGACGGGUGAGUAAUGCCUAGGAAUCUGCCUGGUAGUGGGGGAUAACGUCCGGAAACGGGCGCUAAUACCGCAUACGUCCUGAGGGAGAAAGUGGGGGAUCUUCGGACCUCACGCUAUCAGAUAAGCCUAGGUCGGAUUAGCUAGUUGGUGGGGUAAAGGCCUACCAAGGCGACGAUCCGUAACUGGUCUGAGAGGAUGAUCAGUCACACUGGAACUGAGACACGGUCCAGACUCCUACGGGAGGCAGCAGUGGGGAAUAUUGGACAAUGGGCGAAAGCCUGAUCCAGCCAUGCCGCGUGUGUGAAGAAGGUCUUCGGAUUGUAAAGCACUUUAAGUUGGGAGGAAGGGCAGUAAGUUAAUACCCUGUUUUGACGUUACCAACAGAAUAAGCACCGGCUAACUUCGUG
rnacentral:rRNA from 1 species